GGGUCAAUUAAAACAACAACACUCAUAUUAAAAAGAGAGAAAAUACUCGUAAUAACAUCAGGAGAGUGACUUCCUCUUGAGCACGUACCGCAUACAUUCUUACCGAGAAUCGAACCUUUGAUUUUGCAGCAUCUUUAGUCACGACUCGACUACCACUAGCACUCCUAGGGUAUCUCGGAGGUCUACCUCGUAGAAUGGGAGCACUCGACUUUAGAGCUAUUUCCACUUCUUUUUU
rnacentral:lncRNA from 1 species